GAUGAACGCUAGCGGCAGGCUUAAUACAUGCAAGUCGAACGGCAGCACGGGUAGCAAUAUCUGGUGGCGAGUGGCGCACGGGUGCGUAACGCGUAUGCAAUCUACCUUCAACUGGUGAAUAGCCCGAAGAAAUUCGGAUUAACACACCAUAGUAUAUUAGAGUGGCAUCACUUUAAUAUUAAAACUCCGGUGGUUGAAGAUGAGCAUGCGUGACAUAGCUAGUUGGUGAGGUAAUGGCUCACCAAGGCUACGAUGUCUAGGGGAUCUGAGA
rnacentral:rRNA from 1 species